GUAACGCGUAGUCAAUCUACCCUAUGGACGAGGAUAACCUCGGGAAACUGAGAAUAAUACUCGAUAGAACAUUAUGCCUGGAAUGGUUUAUGUUCCAAAUGAUUUAUCGCCGUAGGAUGGGACUGCGGCCUAUCAGUUUGUUGGUGAGGUAAUGGCCCACCAAGACUAUUACAGGUACGGGCUCUGAGAGGAGUGGCCCGGAGGUGGGUACUGAGACACGGACCCAGGCCCUAUGGGGCGCAGCAGGCGAGAAAACUUUGCAAUGUGCGAAAGCACGACAAGGUUAAUCCGAGUGGUUUCUGCUAAAGAGACCUUUUGUCGGUCCUAGAAACACCGAUGAAUAAGGGGUGGGCAAGUUCUGGUGU
rnacentral:rRNA from 1 species